rnacentral:rRNA from 1 species
UACGAAGGGGGCUAGCGUUGCUCGGAAUCACUGGGCGUAAAGCGCACGUAGGCGGAUUGCUAAGCCAGGGGUGAAAUCCUGGAGCUCAACUCCAGAACUGCCUUUGAUACUGGCGACCUUGAGUCCGGGAGAGGUGAGUGGAACUGCGAGUGUAGAGGUGAAAUUCGUAGAUAUUCGCAAGAACACCAGUGGCGAAGGCGGCUCACUGGCCCGGUACUGACGCUGAGGUGCGAAAGCGUGGGGAGCAAACAGG